CAGCAGCCGCGGGAACACGGAGGAUCCAAGCGUUAUCCGGAAUCAUUGGGUUUAAAGGGUCCGUAGGCGGUCUUGUAAGUCAGUGGUGAAAGCCCAUCGCUCAACGGUGGAACGGCCAUUGAUACUGCAGGACUUGAAUUAUUGGGAAGUAACUAGAAUAUGUAGUGUAGCGGUGAAAUGCUUAGAGAUUACAUGGAAUACCAAUUGCGAAGGCAGGUUACUACCAAUUGAUUGACGCUGAUGGACGAAAGCGUGGGUAGCGAACAGGAUUAGAUACCCCGGUAGUCCCUGUCUCUUAUAC
rnacentral:rRNA from 1 species